CCUACGGGAGGCAGCAGUGGGGAAUAUUGGACAAUGGGCGAAAGCCUGAUCCAGCCAUGCCGCGUGGAUGAAGAAGGCCCUAGGGUUGUAAAGUCCUUUCGGUGGUGACGAUAAUGACGGUAACCACAUAAGAAGCCCCGGCUAAUUUCGUGCCAGCAGCCGCGGUAAUACGAAAGGGGCUAGCGUUGUUCGGAAUUACUGGGCGUAAAGCGCACGUAGGCGGCCUUGUAAGUUAGGGGUGAAAUCCCCGGGCUCAACCCGGGAACUGCCUUUAAGACUGCAAAGCUAGAGGACGCGAGAGGUUAGCGGAAUUCCGAGUGUAGAGGUGAAAUUCGUAGAUAUUCGGAAGAACACCAGUGGCGAAGGCGGCUAACUGGCGCGUUUCUGACGCUGAGGUGCGAAAGCGUGGGGAGCAAACAGGAUUAGAUACCCCAGUAGUC
rnacentral:rRNA from 1 species